rnacentral:rRNA from 1 species
UACGUAGGUGGCAAGCGUUGUCCGGAUUUAUUGGGUUUAAAGGGUGCGUAGGCGGUCCUAUAAGUCAGUGCUGAAAUAUCCCGGCUUAACCGGGAGGGUGGCAUUGAUACUGUAGGACUUGAGUAAAGUUGAGGUUGGCGGAAUUGACGGUGUAGCGGUGAAAUGCUUAGAUAUCGUCAAGAACACCUAUUGCGAAGGCAGCUAACUAAGCUUUAACUGACGCUGAGGCACGAAAGUGUGGGGAUCAAACAGG